rnacentral:misc_RNA from 1 species
AAGUCGUAACAAGGUUUCCGUAGGUGAACCUGCGGAAGGAUCAUUAACACGUGUAUCCACGUAUCAACCUUUGUGCACUCGUUCUGUUCCUGAGGGCGCGUUCGAUUUCGAUUUGUGUGCGUGAGGCAGGAUCGGCCUUCUGCGAGGAAGGUUUGCCCGUCUCGCCUAUCGAUCGGAAUUGUCUGUUGUCCUGUCAUGGGUUUAUCCUUUUGACAAAGCUUUUAUUCAUUUUUCACGCUUUUUACUAAUUUGUACUAAACUAUAAAAAUCGGUUUUGGCCUUUAUUGGUCAAAUCCUUUUUUUUCUCUAUAUAACUAUAGAACAACUCUUAGCAACGGAUAUCUUGGUUCUC